rnacentral:rRNA from 1 species
UACGAAGGGGGCGAGCGUUGUUCGGAUUUACUGGGCGUAAAGGGCGCGCAGGCGGUCUUGAGAGUCAGGCGUGAAAGCCCCGGGCUUAACCUGGGAAUUGCGCUUGAUACUCUGAGACUGGAGUACGGGAGAGGAGAGUGGAAUUCCCAGUGUAGAGGUGAAAUUCGUAGAUAUUGGGAAGAACACCGGUGGCGAAGGCGGCUCACUGGCUCAUUUCUGACGCUCAGGCGCGACAGCGUGGGGAUCAAACAGG